GGACCGGGCCUGACGACCGCUCUGCCCUUCAGGGGCAGAGAGGAAAGUCCGAACACAGGCUCUUCGGAGCAGCACGGUAGCGGGUAACGCCCGUCCGCAGUGAUGCGCGAGGUGCGAACAGAAACGCCCAAUGCUGAAAAGCUAGGGAUCCUCUCUGGAGGAUGGGCUGGCAGUGAUGCCAGACUGAAACGGCUAAAUCCUUACCUCUGUGCAAGGCCGUGCCCACCAUGUGGGAGCGCCGCUCGAGGCGUACGGCAACGUACGUCCCAGAUAGAUGGUCGUCCACGACAGAAUUCGGCUUAUGACCCGGUCCAGAU
rnacentral:RNase_P_RNA from 1 species